AUUGAACGCUGGCGGCAGGCCUAACACAUGCAAGUCGAGCGAGCGGCGGACGGGUGAGUAAUGUCUGGGAAACUGUCUGAUGGAGGUGGAUAACUACUGGAAACGGUAGCUCAUACCGCAUCCCAGCCGAUGUGACCAGAUGGGGUUGGUUAGUAGGUGGGGUAACGGCUCACCUCGGCGACGAUCCCUAGCUGGUCUGAGAGGAUUACCAGCCACACGGGAACUGCGACACGGUCCAGACUCAUACGGGAGGCAGCAGUGGGGAAUAUGGCACAAUGGGCGCAAGCCUGAUGCAGCCAUGCCGCGUGUGUGAAGAAGGCCUUCGGGUUGUAAAGCACUUGCAGCGGGGAGGCGUUACACGCAGAAGAAGCACCGGCUAACUCCGUGCCAGCAGCCGCGGUAAUUC
rnacentral:rRNA from 1 species